rnacentral:rRNA from 1 species
UGGGGAAUCUUGCGCAAUGGGCGGAAGCCUGACGCAGCGACGCCGCGUGGGGGGUGAAGGCCUUCGGGUUGUAAACCUCUUUCAGCGCCGAAGAAGCGAGAGUGACGGUAGGCGCAGAAGAAGCACCGGCUAACUACGUGCCAGCAGCCGCGGUAAUACGUAGGGUGCAAGCGUUGUCCGGAAUUAUUGGGCGUAAAGAGCUCGUAGGUGGCGGGUCACGUCGGGUGUGAAAGCCCGGGGCUUAACCCCGGGUCUGCAUUCGAUACGGGCUUGCUAGGGUCCGGCAGGGGAGACUGGAAUUCCUGGUGUAGCGGUGAAAUGCGCAGAUAUCAGGAGGAACACCGGUGGCGAAGGCGGGUCUCUGGGCCGGUACCGACGCUGAGGAGCGAAAGCGUGGGGAGCGAACAGGAUUAGAUACC